GACGAGCGCUGGCGGCGUGCUUAACACAUGCAAGUCGAACGGAAAGGCCCUGCUUUUGUGGGGUGCUCUAGUGGCGAACGGGUGAGUAACACGUGAGUAACCUGCCCUUGACUUUGGGAUAACUUCAGGAAACUGGGGCUAAUACCGGAUAGGAGCUCCUGCUGCAUGGUGGGGGUUGGAAAGUUUCGGCGGUUGGGGAUGGACUCGCGGCUUAUCAGCUUGUUGGUGGGGUAGUGGCUUACCAAGGCUUUGACGGGUAGCCGGCCUGAGAGGGUGACCGGCAACAUGGGGACUGAGUGACGGCCCAGACUCCUACGGGCGGCAGGAGGGGGGAAUAUGGAACAAUGGGCGGAAGCCUGAUGCAGCAACGCCGCGUGCGGGAUGACGGCCUUCGGGUUGUAAACCGCUUUCGCCUGUGACGAAGCGUGAGUGACGGUAAUGGGGAAAGAAGCACCGGCUAACUACGU
rnacentral:rRNA from 1 species